rnacentral:rRNA from 1 species
GCUGGCGGCAGGCCUAACACAUGCAAGUCGAGCGGAUGACAGGAGCUUGCUCCUGAAUUCAGCGGCGGACGGGUGAGUAAUGCCUAGGAAUCUGCCUGGUAGUGGGGGACAACGUUUCGAAAGGAACGCUAAUACCGCAUACGUCCUACGGGAGAAAGCAGGGGACCUUYGGGCCUUGCGCUAUCAGAUGAGCCUAGGUCGGAUUAGCUAGUUGGUGAGGUAAUGGCUCACCAAGGCGACGAUCCGUAACUGGUCUGAGAGGAUGAUCAGUCACACUGGAACUGAGACACGGUCCAGACUCCUACGGGAGGCAGCAGUGGGGAAUAUUGGACAAUGGGCGAAAGCCUGAUCCAGCCAUGCCGCGUGUGUGAAGAAGGUCUUCGGAUUGUAAAGCACUUUAAGUUGGGAGGAAGGGUUGUAGAUUAAUACUCUGCAAUUUUGACGUUACCGACAGAAUAAGCACCGGCUAACUCUGU